rnacentral:rRNA from 1 species
GAUGAACGCUGGCGGCGUGCCUAAUACAUGCAAGUCGAGCGAACAGACGAGGAGCUUGCUCCUCUGACGUUAGCGGCGGGCGGGUGAGUAACACGUGGAUAACCUACCUAUAAGACUGGGAUAACUUCGGGAAACCGGAGCUAAUACCGGAUAAUAUAUUGAACCGCAUGGUUCAAUAGUGAAAGACGGUUUUGCUGUCACUUAUAGAUGGAUCCGCGCCGCAUUAGCUAGUUGGUAAGGUAACGGCUUACCAAGGCAACGAUGCGUAGCCGACCUGAGAGGGUGAUCGGCCACACUGGAACUGAGACACGGUCCAGACUCCUACGGGAGGCAGCAGUAGGGAAUCUGCCGCAAUGGGCGAAAGCCUGACGGAGCAACGCCGCGUGAGUUAUGAAGGUCUUCGGAUCGUAAAACUCUGUUAUUAGGGAAGAACAAAUGUGUAAGUAACUAUGCACGUCUUGACGGUACCUAAUCAGAAAGCCACGGCUAACUACGUG